CGGCGGCCGCGUCCGGUGGGGUCUCCACAGCUUGUAUGAACAUUCUCCGACGGAUUCACCUGGGAGACUCGAAGCGGCAGCCGUUUUCUAAACUAUUGUCUUCCGCAUUCCGUCACCCUACAAUCUACGUCCGUCAUUUGGGCAUAACGAGGAGCCAUCGAGGCUUUGAAGAUAACAGCAACAAUAAGGUGAAUCGGGCAGAUCGGCUUUAGAGGCAUCUGUGGGGAGUUGCUUCUCCGGCAGGGAAACAAGGGAAUAUGGCAAUCUUCAUGUGACACGCACGCAGUAGUUGGCGUGGAACGAAUACUGCAAAGCUUGGACAAAAAAACAUUCAUUUCUAUCAUCACCGUUGUCAAUCGUAAGCAUAUGUAUGAAUCUCAUAUCAGCAAGUCAAUCUUUACACCAAGCCGGCCUUCUCGCACCCUCAUCCAUCAGUGUCCCACAAUCCCACCUAAACCCCAUCAGACCGUCGUCAAAUUCAUAUCCCCUCUUUCCAUCCUCCCAACCCUUGACUACAUUCCAAACCCGCUCGAACCUUGCUUGGACGGUAAAAUGAUGUCGAGCAGCAAGGAAAGCGUGAAGGGCUUUGUAUGUCAAUCUUUGCGAGGCGCCUGGAGAAGCAAGAAGAGUAGAUAGCUGUUUGAGAGGAAGGGGGGGCGGGGAAGAGGAGAAGGAAGGGGGUGACAGGGGAAGGAUGAGUGGUUUUAACAUGUCUAAACGGGCGUUAGCUAACCCAAAAUCUCAGAUUUAGAGUUGACGGGAAAGCAAACGCACCAUAGUCAGUUUGAGGAGGAACAGUAGCAACCACACACCCCGCCAUCAUCGCCUCUACCAUCCUGUCAUCCAACUGUCCAUCCUGCCAUCUUUCAAACUAAACAUUACAUAUAUCAGUUCUCCAAAUUUUCCUGGCUUGUAGAUUCGAUCCAGUGAUGAAGUGAUACAGUCAUGGAAUGACGUACAAGACAGAUACCAGCUUUACGCAUCACUUUUGCGCGGCGUUUAUCUUCCUUUCUCCAAUACUUGAUAUAAGCGCUAUCGGGGGAUAAUGGGUCCUGCCCUGCUUUGGUUGGAGGAGGUUGCUUGCGCGAUGCUACGUUUGUUUUUCCCCGUUAGUGUCUGAGAUAGAUAUCAUAUGGAGCAAUUGGGCGAAUGGGCUGAAUGCAGA
rnacentral:sRNA from 1 species